CUCGGAUCAGGUAGGGAUACCCGCUGAACUUAAGCAUAUCAUNAAGCGGAGGAA
rnacentral:rRNA from 1 species